rnacentral:rRNA from 1 species
UACGUAGGGGCUAGCGUUAUCCGGAAUUACUGGGCGUAAAGGGUGCGUAGGUGGUUUCUUAAGUCAGAGGUGAAAGGCUACGGCUCAACCGUAGUAAGCCUUUGAAACUGGGAAACUUGAGUGCAGGAGAGGAGAGUGGAAUUCCUAGUGUAGCGGUGAAAUGCGUAGAUAUUAGGAGGAACACCAGUUGCGAAGGCGGCUCUCUGGACUGUAACUGACACUGAGGCGCGAAAGCGUGGGGAGCAAACAGGAUUAGAUACCCCUGUAGUCCCUGAGCGGG